AUUGAACGCUGGCGGCAGGCCUAACACAUGCAAGUCGAACGAGUGGCGGACGGGUGAGUAAUGUCUGGGGAACUGCCUGAUGGAGGGGGAUAACUACUGGAAAAGGUGGCUAAUACCGCAUACCAUCGGAUGUGCCCAGAUGGGAUUAGCUAGUAGGUGGGGUAAAGGCUCACCUAGGCGACGAUCCCUAGCUGGUCUGAGAGGAUGACCAGCCACACUGGAACUGAGACACGGUCCAGACUCCUACGGGAGGCAGCAGUGGGGAAUAUUGCACAAUGGGCGCAAGCCUGAGGCAGCCAUGCCGCGUGUAUGAAGAAGGCCUUAGGGUUGUAAAGUACUUUCAGCGGGGAGGCGUUACCCGCAGAAGAAGCACCGGCUAACUCCGUGCCAGCAGCCGCGGUAAUUC
rnacentral:rRNA from 1 species